rnacentral:lncRNA from 1 species
AUUUGGUAUCUUGGGGGUCCUAAUAUCGUCCAAAAAAUUAUCCGUUAUGAGGUAUGAAAUAUUGGUGGAUAAGAUGGUUGCAAUCCCUAGUCAUCACCCAGCUAUAAAAAGAAAGAGAUGCUUCUUCAACAAUUGGUUUUUUGCAAAUCCAAAGAGUGAAGAGAGGCAGCAAAAUCCCCAUUUCAACACUGCUCAAGUUCUUAGCCUUAUGAGUGGUAAAAUUGUAAUAGUUC